CUACGGGACGCACCAGUGAGGAAUAUUGGUCAAUGGGCGCGAGCCUGAACCAGCCAUCCCGCGUGCAGGAUGACGGCCCUAUGGGUUGUAAACUGCUUUUCUAUGCCAAGAAACCUGAUUACGUGUAAUCAGUUGCCGGUAGCAUAGGAAUAAGCAUCGGCUAACUCCGGGCCAGCAGCCGCGGUAAUACGGGGAUGCCAGCGUUAUCCGGAUUCAUUGGGUUUAAAGGGUGCGCAGGUGGGCUUGUAAGUCAGUGGUGAAAUGCUGCCGCUUAACGGUAGAACUGCCAUUGAUACUGCGAGUCUUUAGUAUGGUUGAGGUAGGCGGAAUGUGUUGUGUAGCGGUUAAAUGCAUAGAUAUUACACAGAACGCCAAUUGCGAAGGCAGCUUACUAAGCCAUUACUGACGCUGAGGCACGAAAGCGUGGGGAGCGAACAGGAUUAGAUACCCCGGUAGUC
rnacentral:rRNA from 1 species